rnacentral:rRNA from 1 species
GACGAACGCUGGCGGCGUGCUUAACACAUGCAAGUCGAACGGAAAGGCCCUGCUUUUGUGGGGUGCUCGAGUGGCGAACGGGUGAGUAACACGUGAGUAACCUGCCCUUGACUUUGGGAUAACUUCAGGAAACUGGGGCUAAUACCGGAUAGGAGCUCCUGCUGCAUGGUGGGGGUUGGAAAGUUUCGGCGGUUGGGGAUGGACUCGCGGCUUAUCAGCUUGUUGGUGGGGUAGUGGCUUACCAAGGCUUUGACGGGUAGCCGGCCUGAGAGGGUGACCGGCCACAUUGGGACUGAGAUACGGCCCAGACUCCUACGGGAGGCAGCAGGGGGGAAUAUUGCACAAUGGGCGGAAGCCGGAUGCAGCAACGCCGCGUGCGGGAUGACGGCCUUCGGGUUGUAAACCGCUUUCGCCUGUGACGAAGCGUGAGUGACGGUAAUGGGUAAAGAAGCACCGGCUAACUACGU